UACGAAGGGGGCUAGCGUUGCUCGGAAUUACUGGGCGUAAAGCGCACGUAGGCGGCUUUCUAAGUCGUGGGUGAAAUCCUGGAGCUCAACUCCAGAACUGCCUUCGAUACUGGAAAGCUCGAGUCCGGGAGAGGUGAGUGGAACUGCGAGUGUAGAGGUGAAAUUCGUAGAUAUUCGCAAGAACACCAGUGGCGAAGGCGGCUCACUGGCCCGGUACUGACGCUGAGGUGCGAAAGCGUGGGGAGCAAACAGG
rnacentral:rRNA from 1 species